CAUAAUUAAUUUAUGAUUUGAAAUUGAAGUGAGGGCGAUAUUAAAAUCUACAGGGCUCACGGCCUACCCGGACACCCAUGAGGCGAUAACAUAAUUUAUAUUAUUGUGAUGAUAAUGCGGACUGUGCAAUAUCACUGUAUUAGUUGUAAUUUUCUAAAAGCAGGAAAAUCACAAAAAAUUAGAAAUGAUAUUCAUAUGUAACAAUAUACUCGUAUACCUUCUAUCUAGUAAUAAAAUAAAAAUAAUAGGAAAAUUGUAUUUAUCUUUCCCAUUGACAGAAACCACUUUGGGACUAUUAAAAAUUGAAUUCAUCAAAAUUUUCAUGAAAUUUUGGGAGGGAUGGGUGAACCCCUAAAACCCACCUUACAAACAUGCCUGAUUAAGUCACUCCAACUGAAAAUUGCUUUUAUGAAAUUAAGUCAAUUUUAAUCACUUAUAUAAAAAUGGAGUUACUUAUGUAUAGCUAAAACUUGUGU